rnacentral:misc_RNA from 1 species
AUGAAACCAAUUUGUAAUUAAUAACCAAAAAAUUGCCUGUCAAAUAAUUCCAAUAUUUUCCAAUCAGUAGUUGUACAAGAGUUAUACACGAGUAAGCAAGAACUACAGUUUCUUGGGGGGUUUAAAGCAACCCCCUUUACAAAACUCUCUUACCUAUGUUUAUAGGUAUAAGAAAGGUCUCUCUUGGUAUGUUUACUUGAAUUGUUUCUAUGAUAAAAUCAUCUCCUUCGCCUAUUUUAAUCCUCCUUUCCCUUCAAUCCAUGCUGGCAACACUAUUUAACUUGAACUAAAUAAUGGUAAAAACAAAAGAAUGCUACCCUCUCAGACAAUACUCAUAAGACUAGGAUGAAAAUGUUAAUAAUUUCACUAACCAUCUAGCUUCUACAUGGUUCUCAACAAGUGGUAAUUCUACUCCAAGUUAAACUUCAACUCUUCUGUAGAAAAGAACGUAAGCAGCUGAAGUCUUUAUCUUG